rnacentral:rRNA from 1 species
GACGAACGCUGGCGGCGUGCUUAACACAUGCAAGUCGAACGGAAAGGCCUUGCUUUUGUGGUGUGUUCGUGUGGCGAACGCGUGAGCAUCACGAGAGUAACCUGCCCUUUACUUUGCGAUAACUUCAGGAAACUGGGGAUAAUACCGGUUAGGAGCUCCUGUAGCACGGUGUGGGUUGGAACGUUGCGGCGGUUGUGGAUGGAUUCGCGGCUUAUCAGCUUGUUGGUGGGGUAGUGCCUUACCAAGGCUGUGACGGGUAGCCGGCCUGAAAGGGUGACCGGGCACAUUGGGAAGGCGAUACGGCCCAGCCGCCUACGGGAGGCAUGAGUGUGGGAUAUGGCACAAUGGGCGGAAGCCUGAGGCAGCAACGCCGCGUGCGGGAUGACGUCCUUCGGGUUGUAGACAGGUUUCGACUGUGACGAAAAGUGAGUGACGGUAAUGGGUUAAGAAGCACCGGCUAACUACGUG